UACGAAGGGGCUAGCGUUGUUCGGAAUCACUGGGCGUAAAGCGCACGUAGGCGGAUCUUUAAGUCAGGGGUGAAAUCCCGAGGCUCAACCUCGGAACUGCCUUUGAUACUGGGAUCUCGAGUCCGGGAGAGGUGAGUGGAACUGCGAGUGUAGAGGUGAAAUUCGUAGAUAUUCGCAAGAACACCAGUGGCGAAGGCGGAGCUC
rnacentral:rRNA from 1 species